GAGAAAUAACUUUAUUUGGACUGAGAGCUGGAGAAUGAGAAUAGGACCUGAGACAGCGUAUUGGGCGAAGGAGGAGAGGUGAGGUUCCCAAACGGCAGUCAAAGCUCAUGGACCAAACGAAUUCUACUUCCCAGCAACCUUGCAGUUAGUGCAACCAACAAAAGGCCUGCUGGGGAAUGUAUUUGCCGCUAAAUUCCCCAAGUAUGCCAACAUUACAAAAAAGAUAGAGGUUUUUCAUCAUAAUUAAAUUUCCACAAACCUCCCCAAUCACAAGUAUUAUAAGCAGAAGUAAAAAACCACGUUUUACAGAUCUCAAACUUGUCUUCAAUAUUUAGCUCAUCACCUUCAAAAACUAGUUCCCUUGCUAAACUCAUUAGCUAUAUGAUCUAUCCAAGCAGCAAGAAGAUGGCCAGGCCAUGGCAAUCCUCUUCCCAUUUUCCCUAGCCGCUCAGGGCUGAACAGCAGGGUGAGGCUCAGGUGGGGGUAGGGGUGGAGAGCACAAGGGCUACUUUUCCCAGUACAACAUGGCCUCUGAAGCUUGAUGGGAGAGCAGAACUGGUGAGACUUGAGAGAAGGGUCCAGGGCCUGUAUUCAGUCAGAAUCACUGAUGGAAGAAGAGAGGGAAGAGGAGGAAUGUUUGCCAUGCUCGUGGUGCUUAUGCAUCUUUUUAUGGGCUUUCUUCAUUUUCUUCUGCAUCUCGUCCACUAUCACUGCUGGUCCUACCAUGCCAGGAGCCAAGGGAUUCACAGGAGGCAUUCCAGGGGCAGGCGGUGGGUAUAGAGAAGAAUUAUCUGGAAAGCAGACCACAAGAUGUACAGAACGAAUGGCUGAACACAGAAACCAGAAAAACGGAGAAAAGUCAUCUCAGUUCCAGAGAAGGUUUCAUAGGCUGUCUCCCCUUACUAGAACAAUCCUCCCACAUCCCACCCCUCACCUGUCUCAUUCCUGCUGAUUCUUCAGCUUGCAACUCAAGUGUCAUUUCUGGGAAUUCUUACUUCAGCCAAAGAUAGGUUAGGUUCCCACAACCUGACUGUGCUUUGUCACAUCCAUCCCCCUCAUGAAGGCCAAGCAGUAUUGCUCUCCCUCACUAAGCUGCGAGCCUGGGAAGGGCAGGGAGUGUGGCUCUCACACUCAUCCUGUUCCCAGCGCAGUGCCUGCCACUUAGUGGGUGCCCAACAGAUUUGCAUUUAAUGACGGCCCCUCUGCUGGCCUUCAGAUUUCAGUGCUUAUGGAAUAAUUAUUUCUGUCCCCUGCCACUCAGCCCUGUACUCUGCUUUGUGAUGGAAAAGAGGAAACCAGGAAUAAGAAAAUGUGCCCCACAGAUUUUGCCAAAACCAUAAUCUGUUAGAUAAAUUGCUGAGAGGGAAAACACAAUACUUCAAACACUCAUUCCAUUCAACACAAAAUACUUAAAUAUACAUACUUUGGGAAAGUACAUCACGUAUCACCACAGAGCAAUGCUGUUGGAUUGCCAUUAUAUAAGGAAUAUCUCAUACUCAGUUUCUGGAUUUCUGCAACAACUGGUAAAAGGAAAAAUAUCACAUUUCUUAAAUUUAUAUAUGUGUAGGCUGGGUGCAGUGGCUCACGCCUGUAAUUCCAGCACUUUGGGAGGCCAAGAGGGGAGGAUCACUUGAGGUCAGAAGUUUCAGACCAGGCUGGCCAACAUGGUGAAAUCCCGUCUCUACUAAAAAUACAAAAAAAUUAGCCAGGUGUGGUGGUGGACGCCUGUAAUCCCACCUACUUGGGAGGCUGAGGCAGGAGAAUCACUUGAACCUGGAAGGCGGAGGUUGCAGUGAGC
rnacentral:lncRNA from 10 species